CUAGGCGCUGUCCAUGCAGCGCCUAGGCGCUGCUUGCCUUCUUUUCCCUUUCUUCUCUUCUUGCUUCCCUCCUUCUCACACAAAGCAAACUGGAUGCUUGACCCAAGGAUCAAACAUGAGGAUGGCUACUUCGUCUAUGACAGUGGUUCUGAAAAAGAUGUCUGGGUUCAAACUGCUUGUCAGGAGCCACUUGUAGGGAAGGUGUGGCCUGGGCCGUGUGUAUUUCCUGACUUCACAAGAUCAGAAGCCCGCUCGUGGUGGGCUAGUCUUGUCAAGGACUUUGUUACUAAUGGUUUGGAUGGUUUAUGGAAUGAUAUGAACGAACCGGCAGUUAUGGAGGUGAAGUUCAAACUUUGUUAGAAGUGCAUUUCUUUCUUGGUUUUGCGUGACUUGUUUUGUUGCAGACUCCAACGAAGACAAUGCCUGAGAGUAAUAGUCACAGGGAAGAUCCACAACACGGAGGCAAAUAGAACCAUUCACAUUAUCACAAUGGUUAUGGUAUGCUGAUGGCAAGAUCAACAUAUGAAGGCAUGAAACUGGCCGAAGAACAAAAACGUCCAUUUGUUCUUGCUCGAGCUGGGUUUGUGGGUAGCCAAAGGUAUGCUGCUACGUGGACAGGAGAUAAUCUCUCUACUUGGGAGCACCUUCAUAUGAGUAUCUCUAUGGUUCUUAAUCUGUGUGAAGAAGUUUGUCGAUUGGCAUUGAUGAGGCGGUAUCGGCUUUUACCUCGCAUAUAUAAUCUGUUUUACUUGUCACAUACACUAGGGAUCCCUGUGGCAACUCCAACCUUUUUCGCCGAUCCCAAAGAUAUCAAGUUAAGAACACAAGAAGAUUCAUUCUUGUUGGGACCACUUCUUGUAUAUGCCAGGUGCCACAAUAGGAAAUAUUACUCUUCUAAGUUUUGUUGGGUACUGUAUUCGAUUUCGCAACAUGAAGGAAGAUCGGGAGUUGUGUCAAAUGCCGCACAAGUUGCCUCAAGGAAUAUGGUUUAAGUUUUGACUUAGAAGAUUCUCAUCCGGAUUUGCCAUCCCUGUAUCUAAAAGGAGGAUCCAUUAUUCCUUUGGCUCCUCCUCAUCAACAUGUUGGUGAAGCUAAUUGUAUAGAUGAUGUAACUCUGCUGGUGGCGUUGGAUGAACAUGGUAAAGCUGAGGGUUCUCUAUGAAGAUGAUGGUGAUGGAUAUGAAUAUCUUAGAGGAUACUUGUUGACAACAUAUGUUGCUGAACUUCAGCAUUAAAGAUUUCAAAAACUAAAGGAUCUUGGGAUAGACCAAAGUUGCCACUUACACGUGAAAUCACUAAUUUGCAUUGGCACUGUGCUUGAUGCAUGGGGUACUGAUGGGGAGACUGUGCAAAUCGAAUUUAUAUGGUAGAUGAAAAUGCUGAAAGUAAAUAAAGUACUGAAAGUGCAGAGUGCGAUGUGAGUGUAGAAAGUAAUGGAAGCGAUUGUCCGCUGGAAUGAUCAUAGCAUGUGUGUUCAUUUGUUAUCUUCCAUAUACAGUUCUUUUCAAUAAGGUUUGCAAUAAUUCUGGUAUGUAAAUAAGGGUAUAAACCCCCCUGAGUUUACUUGUAUAAGAAAUAAUAAGAAUUGUGGAGCAGACUCCCAUUCUUCUUGAUUUUUAACUCUUUGUUUCAUUUGUGUUGUU